CCUACGGGAGGCAGCAGUCGAGAAUCAUUCACAAUGGGGGAAACCCUGAUCGUGCGACGCCGCGUGGGGGAAUGAAGGUCUUCGGAUUGUAAACCUCUGUUAUGUGGGAGCAAAUUAAAAAGAUAGUACCACAAGAGGAAGAGCCGGCUAACUCUGUGCCAGCAGCCGCGGUAAUACAGCGGUCUCAAGCGUUGUUCGGAAUCACUGGGCGUAAAGCGUGCGUAGGCUGUUACGUAAGUCGUGUGUGAAAGGCGCGGGCGCAACCCGCGGACGGCACAUGAUACUGUGAGACUAGAGCAAUGGAGGGGUAAGCGGAAUGCGCGGUGUAGCAGUGAAAUGCGUAGAUAUCGAGAAGAACACUCGUGGCGAAGGCGGGUUCCUGGACAUUAACUGACGCUGAGGCACGAAGGCCAGGGGAGCGAAAGGGAUUAGAUACCCUUGUAGUC
rnacentral:rRNA from 1 species